UACGUAGGGUGCAAGCGUUAAUCGGAAUUACUGGGCGUAAAGCGUGCGCAGGCGGUGAUGUAAGACAGAUGUGAAAUCCCCGGGCUCAACCUGGGAACUGCAUUGUGACUGCAUCGCUGGAGUACGGCAGAGGGGGAUGGAAUUCCGCGUGUAGCAGUGAAAUGCGUAGAUAUGCGGAGGAACACCGAUGGCGAAGGCAAUCCCUCGG
rnacentral:rRNA from 1 species